rnacentral:lncRNA from 1 species
CCUUCGCCUGCUUGCUGUGUGAGACUGAGUAACUGCUAGAUUCUUGGACUUCCAUUCACAGCUGCGACUGAACCAUUGUUGGGAAUUGGGCUGCCGACUGUAAGUCAUCAAUAAAUUCGUUUACUAUCUAGAGACUAUCCAUAAGUUCUGUAACUCUAGAGAACCCUGACUAAUACAGGGACAUUUUGCCAUAAUGGUUAUCAUUCUGGUUUGUAAGCCUUACAUUUGGGCAGGGCUAUUGAUUGCUCCCCCCCACCCCCCGCAUGACAGUUUGAAUGGAACCUUCAGAUACUAAAAACCGACAAAACCAGUUGACAUUCCAACACAGAUGAGGAAAAUCUCACAUGCCCCAUCCCUACCCCUGCUUUCCUCUCAGACCUUAGAUUUCUCUCUGCACUAGAGAAGACAAUGUAUACCUUUGUGCACUACCCUGAAAAACCAGAGAGCAGUGAUUUACCAGCCCUAGGCAGGAGCUGGAGAACUGUAAACUAUAGCUAUAAACAGUGGCUCAGAAGGUAGAAUUGAGCUUUGACUGUGAUUCUCCCAGAGGUUGUUGGUAGAUGCCCACAAGAGUCAUUUCAUGAGUUUAUAGCAUCUGAAACUCAUUGGCAGGAGAAGGAAGAUCUUUAGGACUUCCUAUUUGGCCCUAUAAAUGCCACACAAAAUACAACCCUCUUAUACACCUGAUUCUGAGAAUUCCACAAUGACCCAAUGAAGGACCCUUGCUCCAAGUUACAGCCCUUUUCUCUUCCAAGUCAUGAUGUGUCUCUAUGUUUGAAAGUGUACAGCUUCCAAAGAAAUAGACUGGACUAAAUUGGAUCUUAUACCAGAAAACAAACUGUGUAUGUGGACAAGUGAUUUGAAGGCUGGAACAGCAUAGGAUAUGUACCUGACAGGGGUCUGUAGCUUUAAUUUUUCAAAUCCUAUUUUAAUGAUGGUUCUUAAACACUUUGAUCUCCCUUUUAUCCACCCCCCUCCACGAGAGGUAGUGGAAAAGAAAGGAUACAGGGUUAAGGGGGGAUUGGAUCUGUUUAGAAAGUUCUUUGGAGCAACUCCCAUCUAUGUUGUCUAGAAAUAGUCAGUUCACAGGUCAUCAGUGACAGCUAGAUCCACUCACAAAUACUUCAUGGAUAAGUAUUUAUCCAUGGGGUAACCAGACUGUAGGGAACCAAACUGUUAGGCAGCUGAAAUGGAGGCUUUCUCAGAUGGUAUUCUGCAGUAGCUAUGAAGUGAACAUAAUGUGCCUUGCUCCAAGAUGCAAAAACCCAGGUCUAUAGGCCGACUCCAUCAAAUGUCCUCCCCUGACUGCCUAGAUAGGAAAUGGGAUAUCUGGCCCAAACAGUCUCUGUAGUGGGACCUGGUCAAUUGUCCUUUAGUAGCAAUGCUAGGAGAUUACUAAAAAAUAUAUAAAGACACCAUCUAGAACUGGGGAGUAGAAUUCCUCAAGGACAAAAACACAUCAAAGCAGACAGUGCACCUUUGAUGUAUAACACAAUCACUGUCACUGUUCUUCCCAAAAUGACUUAAAAUAAAGAAACAAAUGGGAAGAUAACAACAACAAAGAGUCCCUAGAGCAUUGUGUCACACAUUUCACUACCCUUCUCUCUCCUUCCUUAUAAGGAUUCUGCUUAAAUUUUCAUGACUUAUUUGUUUCAACUUUGAGUGCAGAAUCUUUGGCCAUUCUUUAGUUCUCUGAGACUAUCACAACCAGCACAAUCAUAGUAUUAACCAGCAUUUUCUACUUUUUUAAUUAUAUUGGUCCAUUGUGCAUUUCAUAUCAUGUUUGCCUUUUCCUCUUGCAACUUCUCACCC